rnacentral:misc_RNA from 1 species
AGUCAAAACAAAGGUCAAGUUCACUUCACAAAAAUAAACAUCGACAUCGGGUAUGUAUAAAUAAAUGCCAGAAUUCAAAGAGAUUUUAUUUUAAGAGGAUUAAGCACAGCAAUAUAGUUAAUACUGUGCUGUGAUAGUGGUAUGAAGCUAGUUUACUGAUCAACGAGUGAUAAAACAAAAUCCAAAGUAACCAACAAGAAUUAAGUUGUUAUGAAUAGUAGAACAGUGGAAAUAACUGUAUUGUUUUUUGCGAAAGCUAGGGAAAUUGUAGGUAAACCAUCUGUUUUACUACCUAUAGAAUCACCGGUAACACAUAAACAACUAUUAGAACAGAUUGUAAUUAAGUAUUCUUUACAAGAUAUACAAAACCAAAUCAUUUUAUCCGUUAAUGAGCGUUUUUGGCAACCAAACGACAUUAUCAAUUUAAAUUCAGGGGAUGAAAUAGCAGUGAUACCUCCAUUGAGUGGUGGAUAAACAUAAAGAUGAAUUAUCUAAAAUUAACUUCUGAAAAAUUGUCCCCAGAGGUAAUAACUGACCUUGUAAGCUCAGGUUCAUGUGGUGCUAUUUCACUAUUUAUUGGAACAACAAGGGACAAUUUUGAGGGAAAAACUGUAGAAACAUUAGAAUAUGAAGCUUAUGAGUCAAUGGGAAUCAAAUGCAUGGAGACAAUAUGUAGUAACAUUCGAGAACAAUGGUCUUCUGUAGUGAAUAUUGCAAUCUAUCACAGGUUGGGCUUAGUUCCUGUCAAAGAGGCCAGUAUCAUUAUUGGAAUAUCUUCACCACAUAGGGCGGAUGCAAUAAAGGCCACAGAAUUCUGUAUUGACAAUGUGAAAAAAUCUGUUCCGAUUUGGAAAAAAGAACACUACAAAGAUGAUACGCCCCAAUGGAAGGAAAACAAAGAAUGUGCGUGGUCUUCUGUUAAUAUUCAAAGUUAAAUAGGUUUAUUCUGGUAUAUUUUCAUUAAAUAUUUAUAGUGUUUUUAUAUAUAUUUAUAUAUAUAUUUAUAGUUGUCAAUAAUUGACAUCUUUUAAUUUUAACACUAUACAAAUUUAUGUUAUAAAGAAAUAAUGUAAGCAGGGUUGAAAUUAAGGUCUGUCUGAGAUUAGUGUGUAGUUACUUUACUUGCUUGUGUCAUUGCUCUUUGCAUUGACUAAUUUUUACUGUACAGGCAUGUAUCCUUUCUAGUAUGUUCUCAUUACAUUGGUAGUUUGGUCUUGUUGUGAGAGACAAGUCUAUACCGGGUGGUGAAUUGGAAAACGGGUAAAAAUGUAAAACGGGUACCUCAAUGUAAAAUUCUCAAUUGUUGAAUUCCUGCUUCCCUAAUUAUUUUACAUCAAAAGUCAUGAGAAACUAUUUGUAGAGGAUUAAAAUCUGUUUUAAAAACAAAAGUUAAAAUUGUUCUACGAUUUAAACAGAGUCCAAAAUUU